UACAGAGGGUGCAAGCGUUGUUCGGAAUUAUUGGGCGUAAAGCGCGUGUAGGCGGCUUUGCAAGUCGGGUGUGAAAGCCCUCGGCUCAACCGAGGAAGUGCGCCCGAAACUGCUUAGCUUGAGUGUCGGAGAGGGUAGCGGAAUUCCCCAAGUAGAGGUGAAAUUCGUAGAUAUGGGGAGGAACACCGGUGGCGAAGGCGGCUACCUGGACGACAACUGACGCUGAGACGCGAAAGCGUGGGUAGCAAACAGG
rnacentral:rRNA from 1 species